GACGAACGCUGGCGGCGUGCUUAACACAUGCAAGUCGAACGGGCCCGCCCCUGUUUUUGGGGGUGGGUUGAGUGGCGAACGGGUGAGUAUCACGUGAGUAACCUGCCCCCUGCUCCUGGAUAACUGCUUGAAAGGGCGGCUAAUACGGGGUGUGCCGGCUGGUCCGCAUGGGCCUGGUCGGGAUAGUUUCAUCUUCGGGUGUUUCGGUGGGGGAUGGGCUCGCGGCCUAUCAGCUUGUUGGUGGGGUGAUGGCCCACCAAGGCGGUGACGGGUAGCCGGCCUGAGAGGGUGGGCGGCCACACUGGGACUGAGACACGGCCCAGACUCCUGCGGGAGGCAGCAGUGGGGGGUAUGGCACAAUGGGCGGAAGCCGGAUGCAGCGACGUCGCGUGAGGGAUGGAGGCCGUCGGGUUGUGAACCUCUUUCUCCGGUGGUGAAGGCCCUGUCCGUUGCGGCGGGGUUGACGGUAGCCGGGUAUGAAGCGCCGGCUAACUACGUG
rnacentral:rRNA from 1 species